AAGUAUCCUCGAACGUAAAAGUAUCCUUGUGAAGGAGCAUUUCUGCUCCACGUGUACAAAUGCAAUCCCAUGAGCACAGUGUGACGAGUCCCCGGCUGUGACCCCUGUGUGUGUGUGAGUGUAUGACUGUCUUUAUGUUUUGAUUGCGUGCUGGGAGCUUGGUGGGUUUCUGUUCGUCUGUCUUUGUUUGUGCCCUCUCUCUUUCUCUCUCUCCUGUCUGGGAUCUUGGGGCGUGUCUGUUGCGGGCUCCUCUCACACCUGAACCUCAUCCUCAUCAGCACACCUGACCAGUAUCUGUAAUCUGCCACGGCUUUUUAGGAGAGGUUCAGCCAUCUGGGACUGGAUCGUUGUGAAGUAACGUACUGCUUCUGUCAAGCCUCGGUUAGCCACUCAGCCAGAAACACCCUGUCCGCCAGCCGCCAGGACCGUUUUCCCAGACUGCUCAGUCCGUAAACCCGCCAGCAGCCUUUCCAUUUCCCUCGGCCCAGGAUUAAGAAAGGAACCCCUUUCUCUGGCCCAACCACCCUGCGCUAUUCCCUUUGUUCAAUAAACUGUGUAACCUUUGA